rnacentral:rRNA from 1 species
CCUACGGGGUGCACCAGUGGGGAAUAUUGGACAAUGGGCGAAAGCCUGACGGAGCAAUGCCGCGUGGAGGUAGAAGGCCCACGGGUCGUGAACUUCUUUUCCCGGAGAAGAAGCAAUGACGGUAUCUGGGGAACAAGCCCCGGCUAACUUCGUGCCAGCAGCCGCGGUAAUACGAAGGGGGCUAGCGUUGUUCGGAAUUACUGGGCGUAAAGCGCGCGUAGGCGGAUAGAUAAGUCAGAGGUGAAAUCCCGGGGCUCAACCCCGGAAUUGCCUUUGAUACUGUUUAUCUUGAGUGCAGAAGAGGUAAGUGGAAUUCCGAGUGUAGAGGUGAAAUUCGUAGAUAUUCGGAGGAACACCAGUGGCGAAGGCGGCUUACUGGUCUGCAACUGACGCUGGGGCGCGAAAGCGUGGGGAGCAAACAGGAUUAGAUACCCGGGUAGUC